GAUUCACAACCUAUAGCCGAGCUUUAUUAUAGUUUAGUUUACUAUGGUGAUGCAGUGUCAGAGUGUUUUUCUCUUUCAUGCAGUCUCUAACUUGUUACUGUAUCGCUCAAGACGAGAGUUGUACUAUAGCUUAAUCGGGCCAUUUCAAGGCUGGAAUAAUUUUUCUACCACAGAGGGCUGUGAAGAUUAUUUCGUUCUCUGUCCUGAGAGUAGCUAUACUAUUAGAUCAACUCAACAAAUGGGAUUUGCUAGCUGUAUCGUAAAUGACAUCGCUAACAUUGUUGAUAUACAAUUAUGUUCAGAUUCAAAUUGUGAAAGGCCUUCAUUAUAUUAUCAUCAGUGUAGGUACGAUAAUAAGACAAAUAUAUGGAUUGAACGAAUCACAAAUAGACAGAUCAACAUAUAUAUUCCUAAUCCAAGCAAGUUCAACAAUAAUACUCGAGUGAAAUAUUUAGCGCUGACAAUGUCAUCUGAUGGUAGCCGGGUUAUUCAUAGUCAGCAAACUUUAUUGAUUCUUCUUCAAUUAACCGAUGAACAGGACCGAACAGGUACAGUCAUACCCACUACCCCUGAUGCAGGCACUACAACUAUUAAAACAACCAGACCGAGCACAAAACCCUCAACUACGGAAACUACGACCGGGACUACUCAGGAUAUGUAUGUAUCCAUCAGAGAAACAACUACGGAAACUACGACCGGGACUACUCAGGAUAUGUAUGUAUCCACCAGAGAAACAAGUAUGGAAACUACGACCGGGACUACUCAGGGUAUGUAUGUAUCCACCAGAGAAACAAGUACGGAAACUACGACCGGGACUACUCAGGGUAUGUAUGUAUCCACCAGAGAAACAACUACGGAAACUACGACCGGGACUAUACUCAGGGUAUGUAUGUAUCCACCAGAGAAACAAGUACGGAAACUACGACCGGGACUACUCAGGAUAUGUAUAUAUUCACCAGAAAAGCAACUACGGAAACUACGACCGGGACUACUCAGGGUAUGUAUGUAUCCAACGUCAACUACGCUGUCAUAAUAUAUUACACCAUGCAUGCAUAUUC